rnacentral:tRNA from 1 species
UCUUCUUUACUGAGCGGUAAAGUGCUUGGCUUCCGAACAGGGGUCCCGGGUUCGAACCCUGAUGAAGAC